rnacentral:sRNA from 1 species
GCUAAAUCCCCAGCCCCCUGAAGAUGUUUUCAAAUCAGGAGACAAGGAAUGAACACAGAGACAAUUAGGGGGCAGGAGAAACUAAGAGGGAGCACCAAAGGAGAGAGGAGCAGGGGCGGCCCCAUGCAGAGAGGGAGGCCAAGAUGCUCAGAGCCAAGGAGAAAGGGAGAAGUGGGUCCCGCGCAGGAAGACUGGAGCAGGCAGCGCUGAGUGUGCGCGCAUCCAGGACUUGCAAAGCCAGCAUGAGGGAUCAAAAGAAGGGAUAAUGAGCGAGUGAGCGUAGGGAGGCUAGGGGGAGGGGAGGGGAUAGAACUAGAACUAAGAGAAUUUGCCUUUACUCUGUCUACCUGCUGACCCUGAGGGAGGGGAGGGAAAGGGUCUUGCCCAAGGUCACGUGGUAGACAAAGGAUGGGGCUCUAGGAGGAGAGCUGAGGUGUCUGCGGUGGCCUCGAACGCCAUGGGGUGGGGGUGGGGGUGGGACCUGAGACCCCAGACCCACCUCUCCCUCUUCCAAAUCUUCCAAAGGUAGACCUUGGAAUCAACAGCUACCAUGGGGAGUUGCUUCUUUCUACCAACCCUUCCAGCCUCAACUUGCCCACUAGCCAGGCCCUCCUCAGGGGUCCUCCAGCCCUCUCCCCAGAGUCUCCCCCCACCCCGUCCUGAAACUAGAGGCCCCCACUUUUUGUCCCUGGGGACAUGUUCAGGUCCCCUUUGUUACCUGAACAAUAAGUAACCCGGGUAGUUAGUUAUAAACUCCGCAGGAACAAGAAGCUGGUUGAUAAUUUAUAGCAACAUCUCGAAUUUAAAUGGAAAGCAAAUAGCUCGCUGUUAGCAUUAAAGAAAGGCAACCUGGGAGGGACACGCUCCAGCCUCCUCUCAGCUCAGCCUCUCUCCCCUGCCCCUUCAUCAAGCUGCUCAGAGACCCUCUCUUUUCCUGGCUCUUCUGCUCUCCCCAGCUCCCCCAGCCCUCUUCUUCCCUCUCAUCCUCCUCCUCACCGCCCUUGUCCCCUCUGCCUCCGGGAUUCUUCUGGUUACCCCCAAGGAAGCACUUUGACCUCUGCUCCAGCUGCUGUGGACCAAGCUCCCCUUCAACCCCCACGGCCCCCAGCAUGGGGGCUGCUGAACAAGAGGUCCUACCUAGCCAGGGUCUCCCGUGGCUCAGGCUGAAGAUGACCUUGAGUUUCUGAGCCUCCUGCGUAGACGUUUAUGUCAAAGGUGUGUGCCUCAGUAUCCAGUUCUCUUCAGAACACAAGAUUGAACCCUGGCUCUUGUUCGCGCCAGGAUAACCUUCACCUACUGAGCUACAGCCCCAGGCCCUUCUUCAUUUUACUUUUCCUUCCCCUGAGACAGGAUCUCUCAUUUCCCAACAUUGCUCAACAUGGCCUCAAGCUCGAGGCAAUACUCCUGCCUCAGACACCUGCGGACAAGCAUGAGCUACACUCCUGGCUAAAAUUAGCUCCCUUUAAAAAAAAAAAAAAAAAA